rnacentral:lncRNA from 10 species
GUCAGAAUGCUUCUGGGAGUCGGGGGGAAUAACCCUGACACCUGGAAGAUGCUCCUAGGGAUGACCCCACUCCCCACCCACAACUGUUAAUCAGGAAAUAACGGAUAUGAAAGUAGCUCUGCGAACUGAGGAGCCGUGGAGAAUGUACAAAACAGAUUCCUAAAGUAGUGCAUUCGUGUAACAAGAUUAAGAAAACGAAGGACCAACUUCAAGCUCUUGCAAGCUGGUAACCUUUACACUCGUGCAUAAAGCCUUGCUGGAGUUGACACUGAAAACUAAACAGUCGAACUUGAGUAAAACAUAUCCAAACUCCCAGCUGCUGGGCUCUACAGCUUAUUUUUAGCUUGAAAGUUACAUGUUGGAGCUGCAGAGGCUUUAUGGUGGUGGUGGGGGAGCUGUUUGUUCGUAGUCACUUGAGUCUAUAUGAACGUGGCAGGAAAUCUGAAGGAUGUGAAAGGAAAAUGGGAAACACCAGGGUGUUCCAGGAUUUUCCCUGUGGGGCGCGAGCUCAGUUUGGUGUUGUCAGCUGUGGGAGCUUUAACACUUGAACCGUCUUUACUGUGGGUCUAGCCUAUUCGUUGGGCUCCCCUAGUCACCACUCAUGCCUUCGUGUAUCCUGUUGUGUUGGGCCCCCACUGAAUUAAAUAGGGAUGGCACCAUGUUCGAGAAGCCGAGGCGACCCAGAGCCAAUGAACACAUAUGGUGUAUGGAGGGGACUUGAAUACAGAGUGGUCCAGAGCAGCCAGCUGGGACAGAACUGCGCUUCAAAAAGCAGUUGAUACAGAUCAGGUACACCUACACUCCCAAGGUGUGGCUAAGCCGCUAUCAGGUGUCAAGCGUGUAAGGGUCACUGCCAGGAUAUACUUGAGUUGCUUUCAGCUGUCAUAACUCUCUAAUAGGAUGGGGAUCCUGAGGUCUGCAUACACCAGUGGUUCACAUCUCUGAGGACCCAGCUACUUCUCUGGCCCUUUCUGGAACCUGUCUACUUGGAGCUCCGUAGGAAGGGUCUGAAAGGCCCCUUACUCGCACUGAACGACAGCCAGAAUAAGACUAAUUUGCCUUCCCCUUCCCUGCUGAUUUCUCUGGGGUGCUGCUUCCGAUAGUGACCAGCGUCCUUGCAUCUCCAGCUGCACUGACCAGAAAUCUCACCCCCCACUUAGGUUAAAGCCUUCACUAAAUCUAGUUGCUUAGAACCUCUGUAUCAAAUCUUUCUGUAGCCACAGCCCUGCUUUGGUGCUCUUUAACCUGGGUUAUUCUAAUUUCUUCCUGACCAGUUAAUCUGUAUCUGCUUGGAGCCCCUUACUGCAGCCAGAGAAACUUUAAAAGCUUGUUGAGCCUUGGGUAGCCUAGGUUUCUAUCUUGAGACCGAACAUCCUCCCUGGGCUUCUGAGACACUGGCAUGCUGAGGCUCUGCCUGGCUCAAGGAGCAAGUCUCCUGGGUCAUUCUGUUCUGGCACCUGUCUCUGGGUCUUCACUGAUGCCUCAGUUUAAGGCCAAUCCACCCUCAAGCUAUACUCCCAUUUUGUUGCACACUGGUUUGCUUAUGACUAUGGGGUUCAUCAGCGUCUCGACUCUCCCCUUUUUAGGGAUUGAGAGCAGGGACCUUGUUGCUCGAGCACUUGUUGCAGGGGCCCACCCAGACAAUUGGAAACAGAACGCAGGUGUGCCAGAUCUAUGAACACCUGCGUGCUUUUCAGACAGUGGCAAUUCUUCCUUUUGCUGUGUGAGCGAGCAACAUAAGUAUCACCUGAACUUAAUUCUAAAGUGGCAACAAUGUGUUCUUGAAACUUCUAAGCAGCAGCAGCUUAGGAUACUUAACUCUUCGACUACCUUUGGGGUAAACUAGCUCCAAUUGGGUAACUUGGGCAAACCGCUAACUGGCGUCAGGUGCUAAAUGAGCUGUUUAACAGCUUUCCACUCAGGGGAAAACAAGUUUGGAGUGGGUUCUGAACGCUUUAUGUAACGCAAACAGUGGGGGCGUGUGGAUUCCUGGAAUGCACCUUGUCCUCUGAGCACGCUCUGAGUCCUGGCUUCUAGAGCCACAAACUGCAAAUACGUCAGAUGUGUGAGGCCUAUACUGGAAGCUUUGGGGAGGAACAAAGCCACAGGAGAGCUGAAUUUCUCUCCAAAGCCUGUCAAGCUGCUUCCUCACUUUCAACCCUCAUGGGUUCUGUCCAGGCUCAGGAAAAGGGGGCUUUCUCUUUCCUGUUGCUUCAACUGUAUCAACCCCCUAGGAAGAGCCCUAUGCAAGGGUAGCGCUGCUCCCGUCUAGCUCACCCUGUGGACUGAACCCCCGCCCUUUCCACAAAGGACUGUUGGGUAUAGUGGGGGAAGCCUUUCUGCUCCAGGAAUUUCAGUCCCUUUUGCAGGCCUGUCCCUGUCUCAUAAAUAAGCUCAAGUCAUAUUCAAAGUUUCAUCUCCGGAGUGUCCCUGGAGUAAAUCAC